rnacentral:sRNA from 1 species
UCGUAGGUGAUUCUGCCACAAAAGGAGU